GUUAAGGCAAUAGUAAGGUCGGUCUCCAUGAUCUUUACUACAGUGUUGGUAAGUUCUAUCGCGUCCUGUUGCAGAAGCUUGAGAAGGAGCUUGAGUCACAUGCCUAAGUCUCUUGUUCUGCUGAAUCGGUACAGUAGGUGCUGGCCUACGGAGUGGAAUCGAGGCUCUGGAAUUCCACUGCUGGAGGAAAGAUACGAAGGUUUUUCUCUAUUAACUGUGCCUUGGUCAGGACUACUGAGUAGGUGUUGAGCUCGAAUAUAUACAAUUAUUACCUGAUCUCAGGAUUGAGGCCCCACUCAGAUAUUUUUACCUUUCUGCCUUCAUCCAUCAUACUCAGACACUGUCAUCUCACCCUGGACCAAGUGUGCAAACUCUAUUUUUUUCAAAUGCCGAAGAUGCUCUGGGAAGUACUCUGCUUUGAAGGCUACCAGGAACUAUUUUUAAGUGACUGGAAUGGGCAGGGUGGACUACUUCAGCUGCCACCAACGACCUGCCUCACUCACAAGCAUGUAGGUGGCAAGUACAACCUUUUGUUCGGAAACCAUCCCAAAAGUUGCGAAGACCUUCUCUAUCUCUGCUAACCAGUACUCGACCUCUUCAAAGGAGAACACUCCUGCAAAGGUAGAUGGAUUUAGUCUCUUAUACCAUU
rnacentral:lncRNA from 1 species